GCGGGCCGCAUGAGACACUUAGUUAAAACUUGGGGUGAGAAAAGGAUAAGAAUAAUACUAAGAAUAAUAAGAAACUAUUGUCAUUUAAGUACUCUUCAUUGUGUAUUUCUUCUUACAGUAUCCCAACUCAUGUAUUAAGUAUAGAAAAUAAAAGUAUAGAAAAGUAUAGAAAAGGAAACUCUGGGCAAGAGAACUGCCUUGCAAAGCACUGACAUUCGGGGGUGAGAAUAUUACAUCAGAUCAUUAUUAUUAUGAUAUUUAUUCCAUUAUUUUUAUUUAUUAUAUUAUUACAGUACAUAUUAUUCUAUCCUAUAACUUCCUUCCCAAAGGCCCCUCUCCUCCUUCCCCCCUCCCCUCUGGCUUCUGCUUCUCCAGGGCUAUAAAUAGCCUCUCUCUCUCUCUCUCUCUGCCUCUCUCUCGCCGGCUGCCUCCGUCUCCCGCUGACGUCACGGCCGACGUCAUUGUGUAGGAUGCUGCUUUUCUUAUGAAUGGGGCCGCGAGGUCUCCGCUGUUACUACGAGGCCCGCGCUAUAAAGGCAGGAGACGCAGCAGCAGCAGCUCCAGCUCCAGCAGAUCCACAUCCACCAGAAGGAAGCAAGCAAGGAAUUAAUGAAUGGGAAGAAGGAGAAGGAGAUUAAGGAGAAGAAGCACACUAUUAUUAUUAUAGUAACAUUGGAGGAAGGAGCAGAAGGAGAGAGCCAUCCAUGGCCAGCAGGAGACAUGGUGGAAAGAUGUCUUCCCGGCCCCGCCUUCUUCGCCUCAGCAAGCAAGAGUCCAAAAGUGGCAGGCUCAAACCCAGAAUCUCAAUCAGUGGCUGAGACCAAAUGAGAACACGGUAGGUGGUUAGAAAUUGUGGUUGUUGACCUCCCAAACACCAGGAGGGCCGAAGUCUGCCCAGGCCUGAUCUAUACAGAUCUUUCCACCUUCUCUUCUAUCUAUCUAUCUGCUUGCAAAACCGAACUCUGAGCAGCACCCGCGCGACUGUGCUCCCUCCUCCUCCUUGCACGCACGAGAGAGGGCUGGCGCUUGUGAUUUGUGUCCCUCCGUCCCAUAAAGCUGCCUCCCAGUAACAAACGGCCUGAUCGGGGAUGGAGGCAUCGUCGUUCGUCCUCCUCAUCGCCCUCUUUAUGGCUUUCUCCGCCAGGAGGGAUUUAAUGGGAGCCCCAUAACCAUAAAGGAGGCAUAUUUCCCCGGGGAAGCUGUCAAAACGUUUGCGUUCGGAGCGAGUUAAAUGGCAGCUGCUCCCCAAACACACCUCGGCCCGACGGGGAUGGCUGGCAUCUCUCGAAAUUGAGGGCUUUUCCCCAUUGCGUUGCCUUGAACGUCUGCAUUGCAAAUCAACAAAAACGCAUAUCGUACCUAAGCUUAUGGAAAUGAAGGACUUUGGCCCCAAGGAUACCAUACGCUUGCAUGGGAGGACCUAGGAAAGGCCUUGAUAUGAAGUGCAAUAAGCUUGACCAGACACCCUAAUUAAUGCAUAUUGUUUUUAAACACAAUCUAUAUAUAUAAAAAUGUAAUGUUUGUUUUACUACGGAGUAAACAACAAAACCACUGAACCAAAUCACACCCAAUUUGGCCACAAAAGACACAGUUAUCCUAUCAACAUCUUUCAAUCAAAAAAAUCUAGAGAAAAAUUACAGAGGACGAGGAAGAGCCGUUCUCCCCUGCCUGUCAGUCAGAAGGGUAGCUGUGGCGAAGUGUGGUGGUAUGGGAAAUUAACUAUUGAGAAAUUGGUGGCAGUUAGCAUAUGUUACUUCCUAAAGCUUGUAAAUAUACAAUAUUUCUGGUUGUUCCUUUUUUUGUCUGUUGGAGGCAGGAUGAUUAGCAUGUAAUGGCCUUUCAGCUUCAAAGCCUGGUUGCUUCCUCCCUGGCAGAAUCUUUCAUUGGGAGGUGUUAGCUAGCUCUGAUUGUUUUGUGUCUGGAAUUCCCGUUUUCAGAGUAUUGUUCAGAGUGAACCCUGCCUGACCGCCAGGCGCCAUUGUGGCCGAGGGGGUUGCUAUGACACGAAGGGGGUGGAGCCCAAAGGGGGCGGAGCCUACCCUUCUGACUGGCAGCCAAGGGGGAGAACGGCUCUUCCCCAUCCUCUGUAAUUUGGACUUUAUUUUUCUAGGUUUUUUUAAAAUUGAAAGACGUAGAUUGGAUGACUGUCUUCUGUGGCCAAAUUUGGUGUGAUUUGGUCCAGUGGUUUUGUUGUUUACUGCAUGGGAAUUAUGCACAUUACAUUUUUAUAUAUAUAGAUGAUAAGCCACACACAAACAUGGGAGUGAAAAUCCCCAAAUACCUGUAAGCGGGGAUGCUGGGGUUUGCAAUCAUGAUGGACUCCAAGUGAAAACGGCCGUCUCCCAAAUACCUGCCAUUGGGAAAUCAACGAGAGAGGGGAUUAUGGGAGUUGCAAUCACAUGAAAGGAAAGGAACUCAUAUUAUUAAUUCCUCCCCAUUUGUCCCUUUCACAGCCCAUUAGGCACCCCCGUUAUCGGCAAUAAUUAGGUGUCUCAUCCGCUGCAGCCUCCAUCUGUCUUCCCCAAAUGGGAAUAAAAUAAAAUACAAUAAAAUAAAUGCAAUCUUCCCUCCCUUGAGUUGAUUGAUGGGACAUAGAGUACCCAACAAUUGUUUUGAGUUCCCUCAAGGAGGUAGGGCGGAAUACAAAUAAAGUAUUAUUAUUAUUAUUACUACUACUACUAUUAUUUACACUUGGCUCAGAGGCCCCCUAUUGGGAUGGGGACCUGUCACUCACACAAUAGCAUCGGUGUUGCUAGGCAACCGGGGGGCAGUGCAUCCCAGGAUCUCUCCCGGUGACAGAGGCUUGCUUUGUGGGAUUUGGACACAAUAUUCCGGAGCCAAGUCCCGAGCGGACGCCUGCAGAAGAAGACAUGUAUUAUAUACAUACAUACAUACGGUUUUCAAGCUGAGUCCAGAUGGACAUCUGUCGGGAGAGUGUGGAUUAUGUCCUGGGUUUCUCCAUCUACAGAAUGGGAAUAUUAUAUCCAACUAUAGGGAUCUCAAUGGCAAAGGAUUGUUUUCGGCCUCAGUUUCCUCACCUGCAGAAUGGGAAUAAUAUUAUAUCCAACUAGCUUUGCCCAGCCACGCGUUGCUGCUUCCUGCCUGGGGGAAUCCUUGGUUGGAAAGUGUUAGCUGGACCUGACUGUUUCCUUUCUGGAAUUCCCAAUUUCCCUGCUUUCAGAAUGUUGCUCUUUAUUUACUGUCCUGGUUUUAGAGACAAUAUUGUUCUGUAUUAUUACACCACAGUAAUUAUUUCCUAUUAUAUUUAUAAUCUUAUAUUAUCUGUUUAAAAGUGGAUUAUAUGAGGCCCCUUCUACACAGCUGCAUAAAAUCCACACUGAAGUCUAUUAUAUGGCAGUGUGGACUCAAGAUAAUCCAAUUCAAAGCAGAUAAUAUAAAAUUAUAAAUGGAUAAUAUAGCUGUGUGGACAGACCUUGAGUCUACACUGGCAUAUAAUCCAGUACAAAUUAGAUAAUCUGUAUUUUGUAGGCAGUGUGGAUGAGGCCUAAGUGCACUCUGCCCUGUGCCCCAUUUCGGCUGAAGGAAUUGCUAGGAUACGAAGGGGGCGGGGCCUAAAGGCAGAAGAGCCUACCUUUCUAACUGGCAGUUAGGGGGAGAAAGGCUCUUCCUCAUCUUCUGUAAUUUGGACUAUUUUUCUAGGGUUUUUUUAUUGAAAGACAUACCUUGGAUGACUAUGUCUUUUGUGGCCAAAUUUGGUGUGAUUUGGUUCAGUGGUUUUGUUGUUUAAUCCAUAGUAAAAACGAACAUUACAUUUUUAUAUAUAUAGAUUAUAAUGUCCUCAAUUGGUGGCAGAAAUUGGGCCGCACCAGAUGGCCUCCCAACUCUAGGAUUAUAUUAGAGCCUAUAAGGUCUUUACCUGGAGGGCAGAGAGGAACUGGACAGUGCUGACCAGGGCCAGCCUGGAGCCGGGGUCAAAGUUGAAGCGGACGGAGUCCACGAAAUGUCCCGUAUCCACCUUGAUGUCUACAAAGACAUACAGCAUCUGCAGGCCCCGCGUGGCAUCGAUCGGGACUGUUUAUGUGGGGGAAAAGAAGGAAAAAAAUAACUAUGUUUCCAUCCAAGUUUCUAGUCCACAUGGAGUACGUUUGGUCCCAUUAUACUCGAGGCCAGACAACGGGAGAGGUCUGAGGACAAUUCACCAUGAUUUAUAGGCGCUGUAGGUACUGGGAUUUAUAGUUCACAUUGAAGUCCAUCAACAAUGGACCUGGAACUCACCUGGCACACAGAACCCCCAUGACCAACACAAAAUACUGGAGGUCUUUGGAGGGAUUUAUAGGAGUUGUAGUUGACCUACGUACAGAGCACACUAUGAACCCAAACAAUGAUGGAUCUGGACCAAACUUCCAUGCAUACCCAGUAUACCCAAAUUUGAAUACUGGUGGGUUUGGAGGGGAAUUGGCAUGGACAUUCUGGAGUUGUAGUUUCCCGAGAUGUAUAGUUCACCUGCAAUCAAUGAGCAUCCUGAACUCCACCAAAGAUGGAAUUGGACCAAAUUUGCCACACAGAAUCCUUAUGACAAGCAAAAAAUACUGGACGUCUUUGGUGGAAAUUCACCUUGAUUUGCGGUAGUUGUAGUUCACCUACAUCCAGAGAACACCGUGAACCCAAACACCAAUGGAUCUGGACCCAACUUGACACACAUAACUGAUAUGCCAAAAUUUGAUGACUGGAGGAGAUUGGGGGGAACUGACCUUCCUUUCUGGGAGUUGUAGUUCACCCACUGAUAAUGGACCUGGACGAAACUUGGCACACAGAACAUCCAUGACUAACUCAGCCUACUGGAGGGGUUUGAGGGGAUUGACUCACCAUAGUGGGAGUUGUAGUUCACCUUACAGCCAGAGAGCACACUGAACCCCACCGAUGAUGCAUCCAGAGCAAACCUGCCCAACAUCACAAACUUGAAGUACUGAUGGCGUUUCUCAGGGUUGACCUGGCCUGAUGUGAGUUGUAGUUCAUCCACAACCUUAUGUGUUUGGUACAAUCAAAAACUGACUUUUUCUCAUAACCCAAGCAAUGCCGGGUACCCAAGCUAGUAUAAUAAUAAAUGCUAAGGUGGAUGUCUGCCACCAAAUGUUGCAUAUAAAUAAUAAUAAUAGUAAUUAUUAUUAUUUGCCCUGCUUUGAGUCUCUCUUUUUUUGGGGGGGGGGGAAUGAAAUAAUAUCAAAUUUUAAGUACUGAUGGAGUUUGAGUGGGUCAACCUGGCAUGAUGGGAGUUGUAGUUCGCCCACAACCUUAUGCCUUUUAGACAAUGAAAACAUUGAUGUUUUCAAUGCAAUGGCGGGGACGCAAGCUAGUAAAUAAAUAUGUUUUCUCCUCUCCUUCUUGCUUCCUCCCUUCAUUCAUUCCUUCCUUCACUUCUCAUUCGUUCCUUUCUUCCCUCUCUUCUUUCCUUCUCGUUCCUCCUCCUCCUCUCUCUCUCUCUCCUCCAUUCUUUCCCUGGCUAUUCCUUCCCCUUUUCCCUCCCUCUGUUCCUAUCUCUCUCUCUUUCUCUCCCUCCCUCCUUUUUCUCUUCGCCACCUGCACGGAAAGUGGGUCAAGGGCUCCUCCUUGAAUUCCUUUCCCUUUUGGCUCUGAAACUUCCCCUUCUUAAAAAAUAAUAGAAUAAAAAAAUAUAAGAAUAGAAGAAUAUAAUAGAGUAAUAUAUAAUAUAAUAAUACAGUAAUACUGUAGAUGGUAAUAUAAUAUAGUUAUAUAUAUAUAUAUAUAAAAUAUAGUAAUAUUAUAUAUAUAUAUAUAUAAUAUAUACCCCUAGUCUCUUUCCUGCUCUCAAAACAAUGCAUCAAAACUCCUUUGCACCAUCUCCUUCCAUAAGCAAUGACAUGGGGAUGAUGGGGGAUAUAAUCCAAUAUUUUUUUUUGGGGGGGGGGGGGGAGGUUUACAAAAAAUAUCCCGUUCCCCCUUUUUCCAUUCUGGAUCCACCUUAAAUAAAAUAAAAUAAAAACCCCAUUCUUUCCCAAUGUUAUUUUGAGCCUGAUUCCAUCCUGGUUGGACUUCAAAGGGAUGCAGAAGCAGCAGCAGCCGCAGCAGCAUUUGGGACAUCCUCGCUGUUUCCAUGGCAACGGGAUCCCGGGUACCAAAGGGAGGGAUGCAGGAAUUGCAGGGAAGGAUGCUCUCUCGCUUCAACCCCUCCCUCUCUUCUCCUUCCUUCCAUUCCUUCCCCGGGAAUGAUGGGAAUUGCAGUCCAUUGGAACUGACCGACUGACCGCUCGCUCACUGACCCAGGCAGCUGUGUCCAUAAUGGACCAAGAAGUCGGCCCCCAAGGCCUUGGCGGUGAAGUCGUCCACGCAACAAGCCCCGAGUUUUGCAUUGCAAAGCACAUCAUCCACAGCCUCCAACAAGGGCCUCCAACAAGAAUGCUGGGCUUUGUAGGAGGAGGAGGAAGAGAAGGCCUUCGCAUCAGCAGCACACAGAUGGCGUUGCUCACACUCUUCUCGCCUUGUGAAUCAGCCCAAAGCGGGGGACGACGGGUGUCGCUGUAGGCGUCGAAAAGGGAGACAGGUUUGGGGUGGGAGUUCAUUCUGGGGGCUCCCUGGGAUGAAUAGGGAAACCGCCCCAGGAACUGAGUCACACAUUGCUAUUUCCAAAGAGAUGCCAUAAUCCAAAAGAGUUGGAAAAGGGACCCCCAAAGGUCAUCUAGUCUGAACCCCGUCCCGACAUAUAGAAAUACACACACUCCCAAAAGAUGGGCAUCUAACCUCUGUUCAAGGAUCACAAAAAAGGGGAGCCCUACCAGUUUCAAAGAAAGACCAUAAUUUAUUUAUUUAUUAUUUAUUAGCAACAUUUAUAUCCCGCUCUUCUCACCCCGAAGGGGACUCAGGGCGGCUUACAAGUUAUAUAUACAAACAAUAUAUUAUAUUAUUAGUAUAGCGCAAUAUAGGCACUAUAUAAGCAUUAUAUAUUAUUAUAUUGUACUAUACGACUAUAUUGCAAUAUUAUUAGUAAUAUUACAUGGAAUAUAAAUAUACAAUUAUAAUAGUGUAUUAUUAUUAUUACUUUAUUAUAUUAUUAUCAAUAUUUAUUAUUAUUAGCGACAUUUAUAUCCCGCCCUUCUCACCCCGAAGGGGACUCAGGGCGGCUUACAAGUUAUAUGGACAUAGUAUAGCACAAUAUAUGCACUAUAGAAGUAUUAUUUAUUAUUACGGUAUAUUGUACUAUAUGACUAUAUUGCAAUAUUAUUAUUAAUACUGCAUGUAAUAUAAAUAUACAAUUAUAAUAGUGUAUUAUUAUUAUUACAUUGUAUUACAUCAUAAUAAUUCAUUAGAAUUGGAAAGGGAAUUCAUUAGAGUUGGAAGGAGACCCCCAAAGGUCAUCUGUUCUGAACCCCAUUCUGCUUUAUAAUAAUAAUAAUAAUAAUAAUAAUAAACUUUACACAAACUUCCAAAAGAUGGGCAUCCCACCUCUGUUUAAGAAUCAACAAGGAAGGGGAACAUGCCAGUUUCAAAGCAAGGCCAUAAUUCAUUAGAAUUGGAAAGGGAACCCCAAAGGACAUCUAGUCUAAACAGCAUUCUGUCUUAUAGAAAUAAUAAUAAUAAUAAUAAUAAUAAUAAUAAUAAAUAAACAUUACGCACACUCCCAAAAGAUGAGAAUCUAACCUCUGUUCAAGGAUCACAAAAGAAGGGGGAACCCUACCAGUUUCAAAGGAAGGCCAUAAUUCAUUAGAAUUGGAAGGGGAACCCCAAAGGUCAUCCAGUCCGAACCCCAUUCUGCCUGAUAGAAAUAUACACACUCCCCAAAGAUGCCCAUCCAAGGCUUCCGAAGAUGGAGAAUCCGCCCCAGCACCAUGAGGAAGGGGGCAGGGGUGUGUCUGUGAGUGUCCGGAUGCUGGGCCUUGCAAUCCCUGCCCGCACUCACCCGCUUUCCCCUCCUUCUUGACUGCCUCCACUUCCAUGGCUGCCUCUAGUGCAAUGGCGGCGCCCAGCAACGUGGAAAGCCCGGAAAGGCAUCGCGAGCAGAGCGCAGAGCAAUGGAUCCCCUAGGCAGGAGCAGGAGAAAACCGAGCGCAUCGAUUGGAAGCCAAACAAAGCUGCAGGAGAGAGAAGGGCAAAAAGGGUUGGACUAUAUUUAUGUAUCUAGGAAAUAUCUUCAAAAAUGGACUUUAAUAAUAUUCUGUUUAUUGUAAAAUCGGAAGAGUUUUGGAAUUAGAUUGGGCCGCAAUAUUAGAGGUAGAGAAAGUUUAAUAAACACAUAGAAACAUUUAAUAAUAAUAAUUUAAUAAAUAAAUAGAUGCUGAAUUUA